GACGAACGCUGGCGGCGUGCUUAACACAUGCAAGUCGAACGGAAAGGCCCUGCUUUUGUGGGGUGCUCGAGUGGCGAACGGGUGAGUAACACGUGAGUAACCUGCCCUUGACUUUGGGAUAACUUCAGGAAACUGGGGCUAAUACCGGAUAGGAGCUCCUGCUGCAUGGGGGGGGUUGGAAAGUUUCGGCGGUUGGGGAUGGACUCGCGGCUUAUCAGCUUGUUGGUGGGGUAGUGGCUUACCAAGGCUUUGACGGGUAGCCGGCCUGAGAGGGUGACCGGCCACAUUGGGACUGAGAUACGGCCCAGACUCCUACGGGAGGCAGCAGGGGGGAAUAUUGCACAAUGGGCGGAAGCCUGAUGCAGCAACGCCGCGUGCGGGAUGACGGCCUUCGGGUUGUAAACCGCUUUCGCCUGUGACGAAGCGUGAGUGACGGUAAUGGGUAAAGAAGCACCGGCUAACUACGUG
rnacentral:rRNA from 1 species